AUAGCGUAUAUUAAUGCUGUUGCAGUUGAAACGCUCGUAGUUGGACUUCUGGGUGAGUCGCUUGGUCGGCUUCGGUUGUACCUUGCGGCUUGUCCUUUUGUCCAAGGAAGGCUCACGCAAGUGAGUCUGACUUGGGCCAGUUACUUUGAGAAAAUUAGGGUGUUCAAAGCAGGCCAGUGCCUUGAAUACGUUAGCAUGGAAUAACGGAAUAGGACUUUGGUUCUAUUUUGUUGGUGUCUAGGACCGAAGUAAUGAUUAAUAGGGACAGUUGGGGGCAUUCAUAUUUAAUUGUCAGAGGUGAAAUUCUUGGAUUUAUUAAAGAUGAACUACUG
rnacentral:rRNA from 1 species